UACGUAGGGGGCGAGCGUUGUCCGGAAUGAUUGGGCGUAAAGGGCGCGUAGGCGGCUUGAUAAGUCUGAAGUGAAAGUCCUGGUUUCAAGUUGGGAAUUGCUUUGGAUACUGUUGAGCUUGAGUGCAGGAGAGGUAAGUGGAAUUCCCAGUGUAGCGGUGAAAUGCGUAGAGAUUGGGAGGAACACCAGUGGCGAAGGCGACUUACUGGACUGUAACUGACGCUGAGGCGCGAAAGUGUGGGGAGCAAAC
rnacentral:rRNA from 1 species